rnacentral:rRNA from 1 species
AUUAUUUAGAGAUAAAGUAGUGCCGUUCUUGAACGGAACUUAGAGACAGGUGCUGCAUGGCUGUCGUCAGCUCGUGCCGUGAGGUGGUUGGGUUAACGUCCCGCAACGAGCGCAACCCUUAUUUUAGUUGCCAUCAGGUUAAGCUGGGCACUCUAAAGAGACUGCCGUCGAUAAGGCGGAGGAAGGUGGGGACGACGUCAAGUCAUCAUGGCCCUUAUGUCUAGGGCUACACACGUGCUACAAUGGGUUAUACAGAGGGCAGCUAGCUCGCGAGAGUCUGCGAAUCCCUUAAAGUAAUCCUCAGUUCGGAUUGUAGUCUGCAACUCGACUACAUGAAGUUGGAAUCGCUAGUAAUCGCAGGUCAGCAAAACUGCGGUGAAUACGUUCCCGGGCCUU